GACGAACGCUGGCGGCGUGCUUAACACAUGCAAGUCGAACGGAAAGGCCCUGCUUUUGUGGGGUGCUCGAGUGGCGAACGGGUGAGUAACACGUGAGUAACCUGCCCUUGACUUUGGGAUAACUUCAGGAAACUGGGGCUAAUACCGGAUAGGAGCUCCUGCUGCAUGGUGGGGGUUGGAAAGUUUCGGCGGUUGGGGAUGGACUCGCGGCUUACCAGCUUGUUGGUGGGGUAGUGGCUUACCAAGGCUUUGACGGGUAGCCGGCCUGAGAGGGUGACCGGCCACAUUGGGACUGAGGUACGGCCCAGACUCCUACGGGAGGCAGCAGUGGGGAAUAUUGCACAAUGGGCGGAAGCCUGAUGCAGCAACGCCGCGUGCGGGAUGACGGCCUUCGGGUUGUAAACCGCUUUCGCCUGUGACGAAGCGUGAGUGACGGUAAUGGGUAAAGAAGCACCGGCUAACUACGUG
rnacentral:rRNA from 1 species